rnacentral:other from 1 species
CAUGGAUAGCAUUAGGACAUUAGCUGGACGCUGGUAACUAGGAUGGUUACAACAAGGAAAGUUAAUGGACACUCAAGGGACAGAGGAUUAGCUGUUAGGAAGACAGCACAAAGGACACCGCUUUAGGACGAAGCGAAGAGAGUUAACUAGGAUAGUUAACGGGCUGGAUUGCCGAGGACACCGCUAGGAAGGCGACGUUAAGGAAAGUGCUGAAGGAAUCAGCGUACUAUCACGGAUUAGAUGCAUGGAGCACUGCAAGUAGCCGGAAUGCUGCGAGUAAGAAUAAACCCCACUAAGCGAAAGCUUAGUGGGGUUUUCUUUUAUG